GAUACCCUAUUAUACUUAAAAAUAAUUAGAAACCUUAGAAUACUAAUAGAUAUAUGCUUUAAAUUUAAAGAAUUUGGCGGUAAUUUAGUCUUGUCAGAGGAACCUGUUUGUUAAACCGAUAAACCGCGUAAUAUUUUUCUUACUCUUGUUGUCAGCUUAUAUACCGUCAUUAUCAGAUAAUUUUAAAAGAAAUAAUUAUUUAAAGUUGUAAUAAACAGAUAAAAUUAGAUCAAGGUGUAGCUUAUGGGUAAGCUUAAAUGGGUUACAAUAAAAUUUAUUUAUAUGGAACUUUUAAGGAAAUUUUAAAUGUGUAAAGAGGAUUUGAUUGUAUUAUAAGUUUAAUAUGCUUGGGAGAUAUAAGCUCUAAAUUAUGUACAU
rnacentral:rRNA from 1 species